rnacentral:tRNA from 1 species
UCCUCGUUAGUAUAGUGGUCAGUAUCCCCGCCUGUCACGCGGGAGACCUGGGUUCACUCCCUGAUUGGGAG